UACGGAGGGUGCAAGCGUUAAUCGGAAUUACUGGGCGUAAAGCGUGCGUAGGCGGUUCGUUAAGUCUGUUGUGAAAGCCCCAGGCUCAACCUGGGAAUGGCAAUGGAUACUGGCGAGCUAGAGUGUGUCAGAGGAUGGUGGAAUUCCCGGUGUAGCGGUGAAAUGCGUAGAGAUCGGGAGGAACAUCAGUGGCGAAGGCGGCCAUCUGGGACAACACUGACGCUGAGGCACGAAAGCGUGGGGAGCAAACAGG
rnacentral:rRNA from 1 species